UGCUGAAAUGCGUUGAAGAAAAUGGCGUAAGCCUGACAGGACGUCAGGCUAGCUUUAGUUGGCCAUGGAUGGCCUAUCUAAAGCGUUAGCUAUUUUCGAAUAAGCAUGAAGCUU
rfam:Shewanella sp. P1-14-1 AN944_contig000019, whole genome shotgun sequence.